rnacentral:rRNA from 1 species
UACGUAGGGGGCAAGGGUUGUCCGGAAUCAUUGGGCGUAAAGCGCGUGUAGGCGGCUUCGUCAGUCCGUUGUGAAAGUCCAGGGCUCAACCCUGGAAUGCCGAUGGAUACUGCGGAGCUAGAGUCCGGAAGAGGCGAGUGGAAUUCCUGGUGUAGCGGUGAAAUGCGCAGAUAUCAGGAGGAACACCAAUGGCGAAGGCAGCUCGCUGGGACGGUACUGACGCUGAGACGCGAAAGCGUGGGGAGCAAACAGG